AUGCUCUAUGUGACAGACCCAGUGCCACCCAUGCCAUGUGUGACAGAUCAGUGCCACUCUGCUCUGUGUGACAGAUCAGUGCCACCCAUGCCCUGUGCGACAGAUCCAGUGCCACCCUGCGCUGUCACAGGGCACUGCCACCCUGCUCACCCGGUCAGCAGUGACAGCAGUGACAGCAGUGACAGCAGUGGCAGCAGUGACAGCAUCCUGGUGUUUGUUUCUGAGCCCCUGAAAACCUUCAUGCCCAGAGCGGGGCUUGGGAGGAAAAUGCCCCGUGGGGCACCAGGGGCAGCGCAUCCCUGGGUGGGUGAGGGAUCUGCNGAUCCUAUCCCAUCUCAAGGAUCCCAUCCCAUGCCAUUCCAUCCCAUGGGUCCCAUGGAUUCCAUCUCAUCCCAUGGAUCUCAUCCCAUCCAAUCCCAUGAAUCCCAUCCCCUCCCAUCUCAUGGGUCCCAUCCCAUCCCAUGGAUCCCAUCCCAUGAAUCCCAUCCCAUGGAUCCCAUGGAUCCCCUCCCAUGGAUCUCAUCCCAUCCCAUCCCAUGGAUCCUAUCCCAUCUCAAGGAUCCCAUCCCAUCCCAUGGAUCCCAUGGAUCCCAUCCCAUCCUAUCCCAUGAAUCCCAUCCCAUCCCAUCCCAUGGAUCCUAUCCCAUGUCAAGGAUCCCAUCCCAUCCCAUUCCAUCUCAUGGGUCCCAUGGAUUCCAUCCCAUCCCAUCCCAUGAAUCCCAUCCUGUCCUAUCUCAUGGAUCCCAUCCCAUGGAUCUCAUCCCAUCCCAUCCCAUCCCAUCCCAUGGAUCCCAUCCUAUCCCAUCUCAUGGGUCCCGUCCCAUCGCAUCCCAUCCAUCCCAUGGAUCCCAUCCCAUCCCAUAUCAUGGGUCCCAUGGAUCCCACCCCAUCCCAUGGAUUCCAUCCCAUGGAUCCUAUCCCAUCUCAAGGAUCCCAUCCCAUUCCAUCCCAUGGGUCCCAUGGAUUCCAUCUCAUCCCAUGGAUCUCAUCCCAUCCCAUCCCAUGAAUCCCAUCCCGUCCCAUCUCAUGGGUCCCAUCCCAUCCCAUGGAUCCCAUCCCAUGGAUCCCAUCCCAUGGAUCCCAUCCCAUCCCAUGGAUCCCAUCCCAUCUCAAGGAUCCCAUCCCAUCCCAUUCCAUCUCAUGGGUCCCUUGGAUCCCAUCCCAUCCCAUGGAUCCCAUCCCAUCCCAUGGAUCCCAUCCCAUGGAUCCCAUGCCAUCCCAUGGAUCCCAUCCCAUGGAUCCCAUCCCAUCCUAUCCCAUGAAUCCCAUCCCAUCCCAUGGAUCUCAUCCCAUCUCAAGGAUCCCAUCCCAUCCCAUUCCAUCUCAUGGGUCCCAUGGAUUCCAUCCCAUCCCAUGGAUCCCAUUAUUACAGUGACCUUAGACGGUCACUGUGGUGAGAGAAGGACGAGAAUCUUGUUCCUUGAUCAGAAGGCUGGAUUUAUUGAUAUAAGAUACAUAAUACAUUAUAACUAUACUAAAAAGAAUAAAAAGAGAGCUUGCAGAGACUGCUAA
rnacentral:lncRNA from 1 species